rnacentral:rRNA from 1 species
GGUGCAUGGUUGUCGUCAGCUCGUGUCGUGAGAUGUUGGGUUAAGUCCCGCAACGAGCGCAACCCUCGCCUCUAGUUGCCAGCAUUCGGUUGGGCACUCUAGAGGGACUGCCGGCGACAAGUCGGAGGAAGGUGGGAUGACGUCAAGUCCUCAUGGCCUUUAUGCCCAGGGCUACACACGUGCUACAAUGGGUGGUACAAAGAGAUGCAAUCUCGCAAGAGCAAGCAAACCUCAAAAAGCCAUCCUCAGUUCGGAUUGGAGUCUGCAACUCGACUCCAUGAAGUCGGAAUCGCUAGUAAUCGCGGAUCAGCACGCCGCGGUGAAUACGUUCCCGGGCCUU